ACCAAACAGUUUCCAUUGGCAAUCUUGGAUAAUAACUUAACUUUUCAGGAGUUCAGGAGCCGCAAUGGAUAAUUAAAAAAAAGGAAAUUUUGUGUCAGAAAAUUGGAAAAUGUCCAGGCAUCUGAAAAUAAUUCCAAUAAGUUAAUAUAUCUCAGUAUAAACAUGUAUUCAAAGAUAUUUUAUCUGUAGAUAACACGAAUCGCUGCUAAGUUUCAAUACUCUUUUUUGUUUCAUUCCCUUUUUUAUCUAUAAAUGUCCUAAUCACAUAUCUAUAUACUGGCCUCAAUGAUUCACGUCUUGAUUUCAGCCUUUACGUUUUGCCCUACAUACAGCAUUAAUAGUUGACGUACUGUCACCAGUCAGGAAUUCGUAAUUUAGAUGUGUGUUUAUCUCCAAAUUGUUUUCUUCCUUAUGUCUGUCGUGUUACUGUCUCGCUCUCUGCCUUUUGUUGUUCGUUUCCAUGGAGAUAGCUUUGGACUCUGUCCCCAGACUGAUAUACCGAAGUCUCUAAAAGUCGUACGUGUUGACCUCUGAUUGACAAUCAGCACUAAUAUGGAUACACAAGAAAACGUAACUGGCUCCUUCCGGUGUUUCCAUACGAGAGAGAUGUCGUCCUAUUAUUCCAGUGACAUUAUCCGGGAGAGAUGUCAUCCUAUGAUCCCGGUGUUUCUAUCCAGGAGAGAUGUCAUGCUAUCUUUCCGGUGUUUCUAUACGUGAGAUGUCAUCCUAUUAUUCCGGUAUCACUGUCAGUGAGAGAUGUCAUGCUUUCAUCUCGGUGUUUCUAUCCGGGAGAUACAGUAUAUCAUGCUAUUAUUUCGGCAUCACUAUUCGAGAGAGAUGUCAUGCUAUCAUACCGGUGUUUCUAUCCGGGAAAGAUGUCAUGCUUUUAUCCCGGUAUUUCUAUCCGAGAGAGAUGUGAUGCUAUUAUUCCAGUGUCACUAUCCGGGAGAGAUGUCAUCCUAUGAUCCCGGUGUUUCUAUCGGGGAGAGAUGCCAUCCUAUUAUUCCAGUGUCAUUAUACGGGAGAGAUAUCAUCCUAUUAUUCCGGUGUCACUAUCAGGGAGAGAUGUCAUCCUAUUAUUCCAGUGACAUUAUCCGGGAGAGAUGUCAUUCUAUUUUUCCAGUAUCACUAUACGGGAGAGAUGUCUUGCUGUUGUUCCAGUGUCAUUAUACGGGAGAGAUGUCAUUCCAUUUUUCCAGUAUCACUAUCCGGGAGAGAUGUCAUUCCAUUUUCCCAGUAUCACUAUCCGGGAGAGAUAUCAUCCUAUUUUUCCAGUAUCACUAUCAGGGAGAGAUGUCAUCCUAUUAUCCCAGUGUCACUAUCCAGGAGAAAUGUCAUCCAAUUACUCCGGUAUCACUGUCUCGAAGAGAUGUCAUCCUUUUUAUUCCAGGAGUUUUUGUAAUCGCUUGUUAUAAAAUCUCAUCUGUCGAGGAGGAAGAUAGACACAUUAUGUAUCUCAUUUACAACCUAACACUUCGUGUUUAGAAUUAUUACAUCUGCAAAGGUAAUAAUAUUUAUCUACAUUACUUAUCUCAUUUGAAGAUAGAUAACUCGUAUAAUAUUACGUCUGCAAAGUCAAUUUACUAACAGCAUGGGAAGUUAGAUAACUCGUAUAUAACCUACCACCUCGUGUUCAGAUACACGUUUUUAUCUACAUUACAGGAGGAUAACUGAUAGUUUCCCUCAUACAACCUCCUAACAAAAAUAUACUCGAGAAGUAUUGUCAACAAGGCGGGCCUCGCCGCCAUCUAAAAAUUGAUUGGACAAUCCUAUUGUGAAACGCGUGCUUGAUUUGUGUUUUCUGUUAAAUACACAGUAUCCAUAACUUGUAAGACUCGAUUAGAAAUAACAAGGAAAAUGUAAUUCUAACUUAAAAUCGAUAAAACGAGAGCAAAUAAAAUAUAGACUUUACGUGGAGACCCAUGAAAAGUACAGGGUAAAUAGAACCAGGUGUUACGGGGGAGGAAGCGUCUUCUGCUUCACCGACCUCACUCGAAAAGACAAAACUAGCGAACAUACCCUUGAUCUCUCUUUCACUACAAUUAAAAUCAGCGCCGAAUAGCAUGUUUAGUUAAAAACGAAAUUGUUUAGCAACUACCUCAUUCAAAACAAUAAGCACAUACAAAUGUACAGGUCCUUAAUUCACAGAAUUUCUCUCACUUGUAGGUCAUUAUGAAAUUAAUUAAAUGUAAAAUAAAGUAAAAGAAUAAUUUAACAAGUCCUUAAACGUUUCCCCUAAAUGAAUAAAGUAAGUUUAUGUAAUCAUGUUUGAUUGUCGACACGGUUAGGCAUUGUUACAUUCACCAUUUAGGUGUGAUCCUGCUAAAAAGUUCCUAAUAUGAGGUGACAUAUGACAAUACAAUUUCAUUUUUGAUGUUAAACAAUGUCCCGUCAGCACACCGUAUUCACAUACCUAAUUUACCUGAAGAAUGUAGUAAAGCAGAAAUAAUUUUACCUAUUUGUUUUUGUUUUGUUUUGUUUUGUUUGUUGUUUUUUCAAACACAAUUCUUGUUAUAUCAUGUAAAAGAUUUACAGAGUUCGAUAAUAAUGCAAUAUCGCAUGAAGUAAAUAUGGCAGUAUACACAUUUGAAGGCGAUACUAACGUAUAUUUCCGACAAAGAAUAAUAAUGGUCGAUUUAUUGGGCUGGUGAAUAAUUUUUUCAAUACCAACAGCUACGUACUUGGCUUCUCUGCAUCCGGAAGUACUCCGCCUCCAUAUUUGUUUCGGUCCCCUUUGCGGCUGUUAUAACUAUUGUAAUCAUUUGGUGUUUGCUCUGAACAAAGAGGUUAUAACUUCUGUCGAUUAACAACAUACGACAGUUCUCUCCCGUUCAGUGUUGUUCAGUCUAAAUGUAACAGUUCUCUCCCGUUCAGUGUUGUUCAGUGUACAUGUAACAGUUCUCUCCCGUUCAGUGUUGUUCAGUCUACAUGUAACAGUUCUCUCCCGCUCAGUGUUAUUCUCUCCUAGAAAUACACACUAGUACUUUUAUUUGAGUACUGAAAGGGAUAAAGAGAAUUUUGAGAGUUAGAAAUGAAUUUAUCCGCAUCAUUCAGCUGUUCUCGUCAGUGAGGCUUUGGGAACAGACGUGUGGACGUCCCGAAGAAAAGUCAGGAAAAUUAAAAUAAGCCUAAAUUAAUACUGAAGUAUAGGUAGGAAUGUGAUGCUAAGAUCAUAGGAGUCGACUAAAGUACUUUACACGGGUCAAUAACAAUGUCAGAAUGGGGCUGGGGAUGUACCCAUAAUGAUAGUACCGUUUUACCAAUUAAUUAAAGUACUAUCAAUAUUGAGCACGGUUGUACUGGUGUCCAUGGUUUAUUUGAUCAUGGUGAUAACAGUAUGCUUAUACUCGUACAUGUAUCCAAGGAUGUUUGGCAAUGGUGAUACCUUAAAAGUACCGGUGUAUUUGUAUCCAGGGUGAUUUGUCAAUGGUGAUAACUGUUAACAGUACUGGUGUAUCGGUAUCCAGGGUGAUUUGUCAAUGGUGAUACAUGUACAGGUGUAUCGGUAUCCAGGGUAAUUAGGCAAUGGUGAUACCUGUUAACAGUACUGGUGUAUUGGUAUCCAGGGUUAUUAGGCAAUGGUGAUACCUGUUAACAGUACUGGUGUAUUUGUAUCCAGGGUGAUUUGUCAAUGGUGAUACAUGUACAGGUGUAUCGGUAUCCAGGGUGAUUUGUCAAUGGUGAUACAUGUACAGGUGUAUUUGUAUCCAGGGUGAUUUGUCAAUGGUGAUACCUGUACAGGUGUAUCGGUAUCCAGGGUGAUUUGUCAAUGGUGAUACAUGUACAGGUGUAUCGGUAUCCAGGGUGAUUUGUCAAUGGUGAUACAUGUACAGGUGUAUCGGUAUCCAGGGUGAUUUGUUAAUGGUGAUACCUGUACAGGUGUAUCGGUAUCCAGGGUGAUUUGUCAAUGGCGAUGCCUGUAACAGUACAGAUGUAUCGGUAUCCAGGGUUAUUAGGCAAGAAAUGCAUUAAUUCUUGUCAGAAUUAAUAAAUUAAUUUGAAUUCCAUAA